GCGCUCGAGGAUGAGCCUGCGGCCCAUCAGCUAGUUGGUAGGGUAAUGGCCUACCAAGGCGAAGACGGGUAGCUGGUCUGAGAGGAUGAGCAGCCACACUGGAACUGAGACACGGUCCAG
rnacentral:rRNA from 1 species